GACGAACGCUGGCGGCGUGCUUAACACAUGCAAGUCGAACGGAAAGGCCCUGCUUUUGUGGGUUGCUCGAGUGGCGAACGGGUGAGUAACACGUGAGUAACCUGCCCUUGACUUUGGUAUAACUUCAGGAAACUGGGGCUAAUCCCGGAUAGGAGCUCCUGCUGCAUUGUGGGGGUUGGAAAGUUUCGGCGGUUGGGGAUGGACUCGCGGCUUAUCAGCUUGUUGGUGGGGUAGUGGCUUACCAAGGCUCUGACGGGUAGCCGGCCUGAGCGGGUGACCGGCGACAUUGGGACUGAGAUACGGCCCAGACUACUACGGGAGGCAGCAGUGGGGAAUAUUGCACAAUGGGCGGAAGCCUGAUGCAGCAACGCCGCGUGCGGGAUGACGGCCUUCGGGUUGUAAACCGCUUUCGCCUGUGACGAAGCGUGAGUGACGGUAAUGGGUAAAGAAGCACCGGCUAACUACGUG
rnacentral:rRNA from 1 species